CCUACGUGAGGCAGCAGUGAGGAAUAUUGGUCAAUGGGCGCGAGCCUGAACCAGCCAAGUAGCGUGAAGGAUGACUGCCCUACGGGUUGUAAACUUCUUUUAUAAAGGAAUAAAGUGAGGCACGUGUGCCUUUUUGUAUGUACUUUAUGAAUAAGGAUCGGCUAACUCCGUGCCAGCAGCCGCGGUAAUACGGAGGAUCCGAGCGUUAUCCGGAUUUAUUGGGUUUAAAGGGAGCGUAGAUGGGUUGUUAAGUCAGUUGUGAAAGUUUGCGGCUCAACCGUCAAAUUGCAAUUGAUACUGGCAGUCUUGAGUACAGUUGAGGUAGGCGGAAUUCGUGGUGUAGCGGUGAAAUGCUUAGAGAUCACGAAGAACUCCGAUUGCGAAGGCAGCUUACUAAACUGCCACUGACAUUGAUGCUCGAAAGUGUGGGUAUCAAACAGGAUUAGAUACCCUUGUAGUC
rnacentral:rRNA from 1 species